UUCUGCAUGAUUAUUCUGAGUUCUGAAAAGGUCAAGAGGUAAUGGUAAGAUAAACAAGAAACGGCUUGCUGCUGCAGGAAUGCAGGAGUCAGCAGAAACAGGAUGGGAAAAACAGUGAUAACAGAAACGGUAUGCAAAUGUGGGUUUCAAAACCACAAAUCGGUGGGUUACCUAGGGCGCGUGGACAGCGCGUGCUGACCAAUCGUGAUGGCGUGCUGUGCUCGUGUUCGCGUGGACAGGACUCAGAAUAAUAUAAAUUGUACAGCCUAACAAUAAUAAAACUGGAUUUGAACUUGCAUCUUGUGGAUGUGUGUGUGGUUCUCUCCCGCUCGCUUGCCUGCCUGCAGCAUCUGGUGAACCCCGACAUACAUGCUUGGGGACUAUCGAACAUCGGACUGCAGAACCUGCGAGGAUCCUGCUGCCAGCGAGUUAUAGCUGGGCACCAGAAGAAAGGCGGAUCGUGCACGGACUGACCGACCCUCGGUAAAAUUGUCUGACUGCUCUCAUCUGUUUCUGCACGGUAACUACGUAGAACUGACAGAACUUUUAAGAGCAACGGUUUGUUAAGCUUUUGAUAACAGUGAAAACAACUGGAAGAGGCAGAUGGACAGAAACUGAGACCUGACUACAUCCCAGACUGCGGAGAUAGCAACAUCCAGAGAGCACAGAGACAACAUCGGCGGAGGAGAGCCCGCACAGAGCAGGACGCCUAGGCAGAAUGAUGCUGGGAGCAGAGUAAAGGCGGGGCCGCUGUUGAUGCGGCUGCGCCGGGCUGCGGAGCCGGGACGCUGCGGGCUCCAAGCCAGAGCGGGGCAUGCUGCUGCCUGCGCUGAGGGGAGUCCCGGAGGACCCAGACCUGCAGGGCUUAGCACUUGUGGUGUUAAGACAAAGCUGCUGAAACUGCAGCUGAUUCAAAAAAAAAAAAAAAAAAAAAAAAAAAACCAACCAAAAAAAAAAAAAAAGGAAAAAGGGAGUUUUGAAGAGAACUUUCAUGUGCAUGGUGGUGUUUUUCACUGAGUUUGUCACAGUUGACAGAGAAGUGGAACUUACUGGGGAAUAGUUAAAGGUUUAAGAGGUCUAUAAUUGAUUCUGGUUACUUGGUUAAAGUGAUUUUAUAAUUGCAGAUUAUACCUUCUUUUCUUUUCCCCUUUCUGGCAUUAGGUUAAGAUACAUUUCAGGUGGGAAUUUAAAAUGUACACACAUGAUUCUUUGUCUUUUUUUUUCAGUUCACCUGACGUUAUUUCUGUUAUACUGCAUAGCUUUUGGUAUUCUAAAGCAAGGCUAACUCACUCAGAGAUCAAAUUAUUGUCAAAAAGCAUUUUACACACUAAGCAUAUUUUCAAAACAAAAGAGGGGAGGAGAAUAUGCAUGUACAUAAACAGAUCCUGGAUCAGAAAUGGAUCUCAUUUAGGUUUGUUAGGCCUUUUUGUUUCCUUGUAUUGAUUCCUCUUCAGGACAGGUGGAAUUGCUGAACAUGACCACCAGAGAUGGCAGACUGAAAAGCACUGAGAAGCCAACAAUACUUAGGAAUCUGAGAUCUGUGGUUGAAAUGAAAAAUAUAAUAAAAAUCCCAGCUAUGUGUGAAUGAAGGAUGAUUGAGGUGGCCACCUUCUGAAUGACUGGGAAAAAAGCUGCAUGAGUGAAAAAAGCUGCGCAGAUAUGUGUGUGUGAACUUAAAUACUUAAUGAAUAUUAAGAUUUUAAGAGAAUGUGUUAUAUAGAUUUAAUUAUGGUAAGUUGAUGCUGCUAGCCUUCGGAGAUUGGAAGCAGAUAUUGAAGAUAUUGCAAGUUAAUGCUGGUUAAAAUUGACUAAAUGGUCUGUUGGUAAAUAUCAGGAUGGUUUUUACCUAUAAUCAAGACAAGUUUGCUUGUGUUGUUUUAACCUCUCUGAUCAUAGUAGGCCAAUCCAGGAACAAAGGUGGAUAGCGGAACAGAGGUGGAGUACAUAACAUGAAUAUGACCGAAUCAUGGCUCAAAAUGACACCAAGAUCCUUGAUUGGUUCUGUGAUGAAAACUUGUGUAUCCCUAGGGGGUGGAUGGUCCCUCCCCAAAACAUGGAUCGGGUUUGUUUUGCGUUUCAUAAAUUACGGAUUAGCAAACGCAAGGAAAAACGGCAACGUAAACAACAAAACUAAGGCUAUCUGGUAUUACCACCUAAUUCUAUCCAGCAUCAUCCCUGUCGCAGCCAUCCACAACAUUGACCCAAGACAAAAUAUGUGGGUUACUUGGGCCAAUGUGUCUGGGGUUACAGAAUUUUGUCUAUCCCUCCAAAAAGCCAGUGAUCCUUUUCGAACUUGUCUAAUUGGUUAUCCAUACAUACAUUGGACAGACUUUAGCCAUUUGGGAGUGAACUACACUGCUAUUAAUAACUCUUAUUGGCAGUGGAGAGACGACAACUCACGGGGCAAAUGUACAAAAUCGUGUAAUUGGCCUAUUGUAAAAGAAGCACGUUUUUUACAACAGUUGAUAUAUCAACUGAACGAGUCAGCACCUUUACCCUUACAAGAAUUGGAUUUGUGGGGAUCAUUUCCUCCUGUCAUAAGUGUGAGCGAUGUUUCUAACCAAACAAAUUGUACCAAUAUAUACCCAAAGAUUUUACCAAUCAAUGGAUCCGGAGUCGUCCAUUUUGGAGACUCAUGGAAACGUCUCAUGCAUGCCGACGGCGUAAUGCAAUAAUAUUUGGGCUACCAAAAUGUGACUGGGCAAUCUAAUCAUUGGAAUACCUCCAAACAUGCCGGGGAGUUAAAUGUAGAAAAUGUGUCUACUAAAAUACUACCUGAGGGUUAUUUUCUAAUAUGUGGUGAUAGAGCUUGACCUGGUAUUCCUUUUCGUCCCGUAGGAGGACCAUGUUACAUUGGAAAGUUAACCAUGUUUGCACCUGCCAUGCGUGACCUGGUAAGACAAACAAAUCACAUUCGGACCAAGAGAGAUCUCAAAGACUUAACACCUGAUUGUGAUGACAAUGUGAAACUUGGAACAGCAGGUGAAGCCGUUGCUUUGUCACUUUUCCUCCCAGGGGGCAUGGCAGCAGCAAACUGGAAGAAAAUUAAAACUUUGGCAUGCUAGGCUGUAAAACAAUUUAACUCUACUUCUGAAAUCUUAACAGGUUUAGCUAGCGAUGUAAAUAGCUUGAGACAUGCAGUUUUGCAAAAUAGAGCAGUGAUUGACUUUUAGCACAUGGGCAUGGGUGUCAGGAUUUUGAGGGAAUGUGUUGUAUGAAUUUAUCUGAUCAUUCACAAAGCAUACACAAACAGUUACAAGAACUUAAGGAACGCAUGCAUCAUGUAAAAGAAGGAUCUGCGGGAUUGGAUGCCUGACUGGCAUCAUGGGGAAUAGGAGGUUGGCUAAAAGAUGUACUGAAACAAUGGUUGUCUAUACUCAUUUUUAUUCUGGUUUUAUUGCUUGUUGUUCCAUGUAUUUUUAGGUGUCUUCAAGAUUGUAUCAUUCACAGCUUUGAUUCUAUGUUUAAGCGAAAGGGGGGAAGUGUUGGGGCCUUAGCAAUUCUGCAUGAUUAUUCUGAGUUCUGAAAAGGUCAAGAGGUAAUGGUAAGAUAAACAAGAAACAGCUUACUGCUGCAGGAAUGCAGGAGUCAGCAGAAGCAGGAUGGGAAAAACAGUGAUAACAGAAACGGUAUGCAAAUGUGGGCUUCAAAACCACAAAUCGGUGGGUUACCUAGGGCGCGUGGACAGCGCGUGCUGACCAAUCGUGAUGGCGUGCUGUGCUCGUGUUCGCGUGGACAGGACUCAGAAUAAUAUAAAUUGUACAGCCUAACAAUAAUAAAACUGGAUUUGAACUUGCA